rnacentral:lncRNA from 1 species
CCUCCCUAAUUUCCUUCUGCAUCCCCCUUCCAACCCCUCUCUGAUGUCUGGUUCCAAGCCAUGUGUCACUAAUUCUCCCCCCUCCCACAUUCACCUCUCUCUCCUGGACCCCUCUCAUUUAUGUCCCCAUGCAACCUUCCCUUCUGGACCCACUCUGUCUGCCCAGCUCUCCUCUCUACCCUUGUGUCUGUCUUGAGCUCAAGCCAUUAUCUGUCUGGGCUUUGUUUCUGCAUCCCUUUAUCCUCUUCUCCUGCUGUUUCUCUUUGGAAGCUAUUUCUGCUCACACUGCCACCUGCCCCUCAUUGCUGCCCCUCUGUCCAUUUUUCAGCUCCUACGAAUUACAUACCAGCUCAUAUUUUUGUCUCUGUCCAGCCCAAGUCACAAUUCUUGACUUCCCCUCCAUCUGUCUGUACCUCUCUCCUUCUCCUCUGGUCUCCAGGUUGCCCUCUCCAUUAUCUCUGUCUCUCCUCCCAUCAUCUCUCCCUUCCCUCAACUUGGUUCCCGUCUCUGCAUCCCCAUCCCUCCCCAUAAUUCACCAUACCUAUCACCUCUUCUCCUCUGUUUUCCUGGUCCUCUAACUGCCCGCCCCAGUCUGGUUCCUUCUCCUUCCUCUGACCCUCUAAGCACUUUCCAACCUGAAGCCCUUGCUCAUGCUGUUCCUGCUGCCCAAAAUGCUUUGCCCUGCUCUAACCUCAUUGCCCACUACUCAUGGCUGGCUCCAUCUUGUCCUUCAAGUGCCAGAGAGCCCUCCCUAACUGUCCCCUUCUUGGUUCCUUUGUGGCCCGUCCUCCAGCUGUUUCUUUUGAAGUGGAGCGUGUCUUCUUGUUGGUGUUGGUUUGUUUACUUGUUUGCUCUUUGUCUCCUGUCUUUGGAUUGUGACACUGAGGGGCCCCCGUACUUUGUUCUCUGCUGGAUCUUCAGCAGCCGGCACAGAGCCUGGUGUGUAGUUGGUGCUUGGUGAAGAUGUGUUGGAAGAAUGAAUGAAUGAUGAAUGGCCGUCUCCUCAUGGGUCCGUCCCUAAUCUCUGUCCCUUCCUCUGUGCAGCCCUAAUCUCUGUCUCCUUGUCUGCCCAUCCCUUUAUUUGUGCAUCCUGACUCUGCCCCUUUGCUGACCUUCCCAUUCUGCCCCUCCAGGUCCACUUGUCCCUGUCCUCGGUCGCCUUGUCCACUCACGCCUCUCUCUGCCUCCUUAGUGUGUCCAACCCAUGUCUCUUAUCUUCUUGUCUGUCCACCCCUGACUUCUGUCCUCUUGUCUAUCUGCUCCUAAUUUUCUUUCCUUGUCCAUCUCUCCCUCAUGUUUGUGUUCUUGUCCUUCUUCCUCUGAUCUUGGUCCCUGAUUCACC